GAUUUCUGGCGUUUCAUUUCAGGCCGGCCACGGUUUCGUGUGUUAGUGCUUGAGAUCUUCGCCAUCCUUCCAAUGGCUAUUCAUCCUUCUUCAUUGAAGGUGUGAGUGGUAUUGGAUCUUUUACUUUGAAAAAAUUAGAGUGUUUAAAGCAGGCUUUCGCUAUGAAUACAUUAGCAUGGAAUAAUAAUUUAGGACUUUGUUUCUAUUUUGUUGGUUUCUAGAGGCGAAGUAAUGAUUGAUAGGGAUAGUUGGGGGUGCUAGUAUUCAGCGGCCAGAGGUGAAAUUCUUGGAUUCGCUGAAGACUAACUUAUGCGAAAGCAUU
rnacentral:rRNA from 1 species